UACGGAGGGGGCGAGCGUUAUUCGGAAUCAUUGGGCGUAAAGGGCGCGUAGGCGGCCCCGUAAGUCUUGGGUGAAAGCCCUCGGCUCAACCGAGGAAUUGCCUUGGAUACUGCGGGGCUCGAGGCUGGAAGAGGGCAGUGGAAUUCCCGGUGUAGCGGUGAAAUGCGUAGAUAUCAGGAGGAACACCGGUGGCGAAGGCGGGUCUCUGGGCCGAUACUGACGCUGAGGAGCGAAAGCGUGGGGAGCGAACAGG
rnacentral:rRNA from 1 species